rnacentral:lncRNA from 1 species
UUUUUAGUAAAAGGAAUUCCAUCAGUUCAUUUGGAGUCUGAUCAAUGCUGGGCGAACAGAUUAAAUUCUCUUUAGAGUAGCAAAUCUUAGGACUAUAAGCUGAAGUAGAACUAGAAAGUCCAGCCAUACCUAAGUCCAAGCUAGCCACUCUGGUCCUUUUCUCUGUUGUAUUCCAUUAAAGACCCUGAUAUCUGGGACUAGAGUUCCUGAGCACUCUAUACCCAUGACCUGGUCUGGAAGCAGCUCUUCUUAGCUGUCCUAUCAUGCCACAGUAACUCCGGGUCUCUGAGACAAGUGUCCUGAAACUCUUGAGUUCUCACAUGCCCUUUCAUCUUUCCCUCUUUUUUGAUCAAUCCAACCAAUUCAUGGCUUCCUGUUGAAUGUUAUUUUAUAAUAAUAUGGUUUAUGUUAUUAACACUCUUUAAUGUUAUUCAAGCCCAUCUUCUAUCAUGUCAUUGCUUAAAAAGCCUCAACAGUUCCUUAGGGUCAAGCCCACUGUGUGUGAGCUUCUUAACUGGGCAUUUAGAAUCCUCUCCAAUAUCCUCCACUACCUAUGAUUUAUAUUUUAGCCAAAAUGGACCCUUUAUAAUCUUGAACUUCAUUGCAUGUCUGCACUUCUAUACCAGUGCUGAAUCCCAAACUGAAAUCUGGUUCAUAUUUCAUGAAACAGCUGGUUUUUACACCCACAUCUUGAAAUCUCUUUCUAUUCCCUCACCUAGAUACAAACUCUUCAAGGGGCCAGUAGAGUAUAGUGGCUAAAAUCUUGGAUUCUAAAACCCAGCUGUCAAGGUUCAAAUCCCAGCCACACCAUGUGCUGACUGUGAGAUCAUAUACAAGUCUCUUUUCACUUCACAUCUGUUUCCUUAUCUGGAAAAUCAAGAAUAUUAAUCAGAUAUUAAAUGAGAUAAUAUACAUUUAAUCUAGUCCGUGGAACCCUGUAAGCAUGCAGCAACUGCGAGCUAUUAUGGCAGAUGCUGUUGCUAGCCCACCCACAUCCUCUUGGUAUUUGUCUCUACAUUCUCAACCUGUUUAUAGAAAACAUUCGUGACUCUCUGUAGUCAAGAUAGCAUGCUCAGCUCUCAUACAGGGCAGAGCAGAAGUUUCUGAGAUGUAAUCAGUCUCCCAAGAAGCGACACUCAGACAAUGACCAAUGGAGAGUCAGUGGAUGAAUACCCCUUGUUAGGAAUAACUCUGAACCCUAUUCUAGAGUGUGGACAGCAUAGAAUCUCUUAUUGUCUCCCAGACUUCCCCAGCAGGCUGUAACAUCAGUUGCCCGCAAUGGUAAUUGGCUUGGCAGAUACCUUCUGUCAGCUCCUUUGCCUUCCCUAACUUACUCUCCACUCUCUUUUAUGUAUUUCCUGGGAUCGUUUCCCAAAACUACUUGGAUUCUUGUCUCCGGGUUGGCUUCUGGAGGACUCUAAAACCAUAACUGCUCUUAUCACUACAGCUGACUUCUUUGAAACCAUGAAAAUACUGCUUUAUUUGCAUUCGUCUUCUGCUAGUUAGAGUCUACCUUCAUAAAACCUAAAAUCCAACAAAAAAUUAAGACCAAAAUACAAAUAUUUCUCACAGUACCUCUCACAUAGAAGUUACUCAAUCUGUAUUUAGAGAGCAAAGAAUAAUGGGAGAUCAAAAGAUUACUCUGUGACUAUAAAAAUAGAGCGAGGACUAUUGAUUGGUUACUAAGAAUAUUUUACAAACUUUUAUGGUUUGACACACCCUUUUAAUGGUGGUAUGUCUACCUAAUAUAUCUGCACCUUCCCAAAAUCCCCUCCCCUCGAUGUCAGCAUCAGGACUCCCCUCCUCCUCUAGCUAGAUUUGAGAGACACUUGCCAUUAUCUCAUCAUUAUUUUAUCAUGUUAAUGUACUUGUGUAACCUUUUAUAUUUUCUAAAUAUGAAAAAUAUUUUACAGAGAUUACAUUUGACGCAGCUGCUUCCUGAAGACCUAGAGAUCACUUUAAUCUUACAAGCACAUUCUUCAGAUUGUCGUGUGGGUGGGUAACUUCCGCCAGACUUUUCUGGAGAUGGCUAAUCCAGCCGUGGGAUGUGGUUUCUUCUAACAGCCAGUCAGGAAAAUCUUGCUUCUCAAACUCCUGUCUUGACCCCUUCCUGAACUUUGCCUCCUGGAUCUUGAGGUCUGCCUUCUGUGGAAGAGAAAUACUAGAAUCAAUGAACUGUGAACUAGAGCCCUGGGAUUAUCAACAGCUGAAAUUUUGAGAGCCACCUUAUAGAAAGCCUAACAGCAAAGACUGGAGAGAGGCUUCCAGCCAACAGCCAGCAAGGAAUUGAAGCCCUCAGUCCAAUAGCAGUGAGGAAUUGAAUCCUGCCAACAGCCUCGUGGAUGGGUUGCUUGCUGCCUGAAUCUAACUCCUGCUACUACUGCAAAUACCACUGCCAUGAAUAUCCUCAGCAAGACCCCCUUCCAGACCUGCAUGAACAGUUGUGUGAAAUACCGACUGCUUCAUGCUGGGCUUCAGACAUGAGAGGCUAGGAGUAGGAGGCAUGCCUUGUUCAAAGUAACUCCUCCAGGGGACAGCAGCAUCUCUUCUGACUCUUUGCUUCCAUGUCUUGAGGAAGCAGCCUCCUGCCUAUGGCCAUCUGAGGAAGCCAUCUUGGAAGCAGACCCCUCAGCCCCAGUCAAGCCUUCAGAUGACUGAAGUCUCAGCUGACAUCUUGACUUUAAUUUAAAAAAAAAAAAAAAAAAAAAAAAACAAACAAACAAACAAAAAAAAACUCCAAGCCAGAACUACCCCCAACUGGAAUUUGAGAGCUGCUUUCAAAUCCUGACCCAUAGAAACUUAGAUAAUAAAUGUUUGUUGUUUUAAGCCACUCAUUUUUAGAGAAAUUUGUUAUGCAGCAAUAGCUAGCUAAUACAGAGAAUUAACCAGCCUCUCUUAAAUUACCACCACAAAAUCAACUACCUAUUUUAUUAAAAGGUAAAACCAGCUGCUGAAGAACGUUUUUCCUCUCAAGGCUUUGGCACUUAAGAUUCAACAGUAAGAAGGAUUGAAGAGUGAAGGCUUCCUGGCUACCCCGUGGCAUCCUGUGUUUGGUUUGAAGCGUGAUAAGCCUGGGUUGCUCUUCCAGUCCACCUUGUAAGAGACUGAUGUGGAAAAAUGUGUCUCUUCUCAAGGGCUAACUCUGGAAGCUUGGGAAAAUAUUCUAGAUUUGGAUCACAUUAAAAUGGGUAUUAGACCUAGGUUCUAGUUCCAUCUCUAAGAUCUGGAUAUGUCAAAAUCCUUUUCCCUUUGUAGGUUUUAAGUUUGGCCUCUUUAAAUAAAGAAACAAUCACCCAUGCUUUGUCUUUUAACUUGCUACUUAAAACAAGGAGCUGAAGACACUGGCCAUCAUCAAAUAACUAAUGGACAAUUCCCACUGCCUCGCUGAAAUUUGCAGUCUGACUCUCAUCAUCUCUUGCCUUUUUUUUUUUGCUUUGGCUGUGUUUGUGAAACUGCCUUUGCAAAGAUUAUGAGAGGGAGUCUAGCAUGGCCAACUCCAUCUUGCUUCUAGCCUCAUGGGCUGGCUUCCCUUGCUCAUUCCUAGCCAUAGGCCAAGCUAACCAUGGGAGGAAUUUAGUUUAUAGUUUAACUUUGAAGCAAAGAUGAUACUAUUUUAUCCCUAAAACAGAUCCCUUCCUUGUUCGGGUUCUGAAACCACCUUUGUAAGACUAAUGAAAAGCCACAAGAUUAGGAUUAUGGAAAGGGCCUGAAUCCUGCUCAAAUGGAGGCAUCAUUUCUAUACUUCCUUACUGCUCAGGAGUUAUGUGGCCAAAUGGCACAGAGUUGUGACUUCCUCAAUUGCUCCUGUGGAUAACAUCACUAUUGUAGAACCUAAGGCUGGUCUUUUGAGCUGUUUUUCAGAUUUUUGCAUUCUGGCAACUGAGUGAUGCCUCCCAGACUCAUGACUCAACCAGUCCUAUGGCCUCCACCCAGAGGUGGACUCAGCACAUGAGGACUGUUUUCCUCGCACUUCUGUGAUCUCAUCCCUAACCAAUCAGUAGCACUCAUUCCCUAGCUCCCUGCCCACCAAAUUUUCCAUAAAAAGCCUAGCCUCUGAGCUCUUGGGGAGAUUGACUUGAGUGAUAAACUCCAGUUCUUCUCUAUGGCCAGUCUUGUAUUAAUUAAACUCUUUCUUUACUGCAAUACCAUGGUCUCAGUGAAUGGUUUGAUCUGUGCAGCAUGCAGGAAAAACUCAUCAAUCAAUUACAUUUGUCACUAAGUCCUCUCAGCUGGAGACUCAUCAAUGAUAUUAAAUUUUAAAAAACUACCAAGCGAAUACAAUUCAAGUGGAAGCUCACCUGUGGAGCAAUGGGAACACACUGUUAUUCAACAGGGCUGAAGUCUGAAUCAGAUGCCCGGAGGAGAUACGUUGUCUUGGCUUUGCCACUCACUGGCUAUGUGAUCUUGGAUAAGUCACCUCACUCCUCUUGAUCUCAGCUCCCUCUUCUUUAAGAAAAAAAAUAAAGUAGUGAUAAUUUUAAUAGUCAACAUUUACUGACUGUAAUCUAAAAAUGGGGUUAAGUAAAUUGCAUGCAUUACCUUUAACACAACUGUGACAUAGGAAUUAUUGUAACAUAAACAGCCUCAUAAAAUCUGUAUUUUACAGAUAAGGAAACUAAGUUUCAGAGAUAAUAAGUGGUGGAGCCGGAUUCAAACCCAAGUUCUUAACCACCAAGAUCAUAGCAAUUAUAAAUCAGUUUCAGCUUGAAUUUGAACUCUCUGGAUGCUAGGAUUCAGAAGAGAUGUGACAUCUGUGAAGAACUGAUGGUGUCAGUCUGCCAGGCAUUUAGUUAUAUGAGGAACCCAGAGUGAGGUUAGCAUCAGGGAGUCACUGGUUCUAGAGCAGAGGGAAGAUUCUAUUUACUUUUGAUGUUGGUCACUACAAAGUUAUGGUGCCAGCAAGAGAGCAAAGUAAAAACAAAAAGGCCUGGGAUAUUAGUAUGCAGGUCAUCUGGAGAAUUGGUGCCAGCAUCUUCUGUAGUAAUUGAUGAGGAUGCCCCAUCAUUGACAUCAACGACGUUGACAGUGGACACUGGCAGGAAUUGAAUGCCUUGAGCAGACACCAGUCACAGUGUCGGCAGUGGCUGGGAGUCAUUACCCCCAAUGUGCCACGGCCGGAGGGGAUAAAUGCAGCAGAUGUCACAUGGCAGCCCAGAGGAGCAGUUUGCAGAGCACAUGUGAGAAACCCUCUGAGGAUACCCAGGAGACACCACGGGAGACAGAAACCCAGGACUGUACUUGAAUGAAAUUCGAGAGAGAGCUUACAUUUCUAUAGAACAGAAGUGUAUCUUCCUGAAGAAAUUUUGUGUUUGCUCUUGAGAUCCUAUUUUUACCCUCAGACUUGGGUGGUCUGAAAAAUGUAGGUUACUGAUGAGAUGGAAGGGUGCGACUCCACAGUGCUCUGCAAGGGUCUUUCACUUUGCCUCAUGAUUCCCAGAAUUACAGCAUUUCAAACUCCAUUGACAGAAACACCAGGGCUGGCAAAUGCAGUGCAGAUCCAUUGGUGAGUCUUGAAAGGAUUUCUGAUGCUAAUUUGUUGCCCUUGGGACUAACUGGAGUUAAAUUAUGAUUAUUCCUAAUGUGGUGGUCCCAGUACUGUUUGGCGAGGAACGUGAAUACUUUCUCUAACUGGCCACAGUGCUCUCCAGGGAAAGAUGUUUGAUCUGGGGCACUGAGGCAUUCUUCCCUGCUGAUUGUUGGGAAAUGCAGCUCCUCUGUGGAAAGGGGCUUUGCUGCCAUCGUAUUGAG